UGCCUGCCUGGCGCCUGCCUGAUUGGCGUCUGCGCGCCCGCCUGCCUGGUGUCUCUGCCCGGCGGCUCGUCUACGGACGCUUCUAAACAACCGUACUGGACUGAUGAGCGGAAAGUAGAUAUCCUUCCACUCUGCCUUUCUGGGAUCGCCAGAGACGCGUUUGACGCUCUGUCCAGGGAACAGCAGCGGACGUUUCAAUCGGCUGCAGAUGGUCUCCGGGCUGCUUUUUCGCAGCGCAGUGCCAUUGACUAUCACCUAGCCUUGCGAGGCCUGCGAUAUGAUCCACUUGCAGCGCCGUAUCGCGGAGCUCGAGUCACAGCUGCAAAACCGGCCAGUGGGGUCGCGUGGCGCUGGCCCCCGUCAACCGCGAGACUGUUUUGCUUGUGUGCCCUGCGAUCAGACGCUUAGUGCAACUGACUCCAGUGACCCGGAGGCCCCGGACUCGUGGGUGCCGAGUCUGACCGUCUGGUCAUGCCCGCAGCCGGCGCUCGUCUUCCUGUGAUGUAGCUCCGAGAAGAUGCGCGGCAUGCGCGGCCGCGAUCGUGAGCGCCGGUGGUUGUGCGCCCUAUCCUACGGUUUCGCCGCGAUUUGUUGCUGUGUGUCCUGCUGGUGGCUGUGGCCGUGAGAGUUUCUGUUGGUGUCGGACGUCUCCCCGCGAUGUUGCGCCGGUCAGAUGCGGGGCCCGCGCGGCCGCGCUUCUGGGCGCUGGUAGCUGUGCCGUUCCGAUCGACUGUUUCGCCGCGAUAUGUUUGGCGUCGUGUUGCGCCUGCGGUUGUAGCCGCUAAGUUUCUGUUUUGUUUCACGGUUCUGAUUGCGGGAGUCCGACAGCUUGCUAAUGUAUUUAUGAGGGGGAAGAGUGUAGCCGUAGCAGUUACUGCGUAUAUUUCUGUGGCGUGGCCCCGACUCUGUCUAGACGAGUGGUUUGGCCGGUCGCGGCGCCCGGGGCCCUGUGACGUAUUGGACCACGUGACCUCGCCGAGACCGGGGAUGUGCGGGCCGAUGGCCGGCAGAAUGGUGCUGGCCUUGAUGCUGGAGUGACGGCCAAUACAAAUGCAGUGAGUGA